GGAACCUCUCGGGGUUACAGCCUUGCUGAAUUAUUCACCCUUGUCUUUUGCGUACUUCUUGUUUCCUUGGUGGGUUCGCCCACCACUAGGACAAACAUAAACCUUUUGUAAUUGCAAUCAGCGUCAGUAACAAAUUAAUAAUUACAACUUUCAACAACGGAUCUCUUGGUUCUGGCAUCGAUGAAGAACGCAGCGAAAUGCGAUAAGUAGUGUGAAUUGCAGAAUUCAGUGAAUCAUCGAAUCUUUGAACGCACAUUGCGCCCUUUGGUAUUCCAAAGGGCAUGCCUGUUCGAGCGUCAUUUGUACCCUCAAGCUUUGCUUGGUGUUGGGCGUCUUGUCUCUAGCUUUGCUGGAGACUCGCCUUAAAGUAAUUGGCAGCCGGCCUACUGGUUUCGGAGCGCAGCACAAGUCGCACUCUCUAUCAGCAAAGGUCUAGCAUCCAUUAAGCCUUUUUUUCAACUUUUGACCUCGGAUCAGGUAGGGAUACCCGCUGAACUUAAGCAUAU
rnacentral:rRNA from 1 species